ACGUUGUUUUAAUCAGUUGCCUUUUUUUAAAAGACAUUUUUUAUGUAAAGCAAAUUGAACUGUCAUCAGAAAUGAAGUUACAUUGUUGGGACCAUUUCUUUAAAGAUUUCACAGAAGUUAGCCUUUGGCAUUUGACAGGACAUACACCCUAGGUAACAAACAGCACAUACCAAUUUCUCUACACCAAGAACUUCUAAUACAUUGAAAAAAAGAAAAAAGAAAGCUGGGUUCCAAAUGGAUAGUAUUCUUAAAGAACUAAAGUCAGCAUUUUUAGAGGUAACAGCAGCCAAGAAAUGCAGCAGCAAUGUUCUGAAAUGCUCCUCUUCCACCAACCUGGGAGUGGCUAGAACAGGGGGUUUCCACUAUGGUCACUUUCUGCUUUCUCAGUAAAGUUAGGUCUGGGUGUUCUAAGAGCUGCUGGUAAAUAUAUAAAGACCAACAAAGAAUGGUGCUGAGUUAAGUGGCACUUAAUAUCUGCAGGUCAUUCUAGCCUAGAGGCUACUUAAAUAUCACAGUCAUAUGCAGCCUAGGAAGCUCUUCCACAGACAAGAGGGUGAUGUGAAAGCUGCUUUUUUAAGAGAUUUAAAAAGCACAUUCCAUGUAUGUAAAUGAACUUAAAAUAAUUGAAGCAAGCUGUUAAGAGCUUUUAUUUUUUAGAACAAGUUAACUGUAAAUAUUUUAAUGUUAGUUUGCUCAUCUAUGAUCUAAGAUCAUUGCUGAGAUGAGAAAAAUGACCCCAAACUACAAUUUAAUGCAUUGAGAAAAAAAAAGAUCUAAAAAUAGUAAUUCUAGCUCCAGUCUUUUAGAUCAGCUCUAUAAUAUGUUAUGGGUCCAUUUUUCCUGGAAUAGCUUAAAAGCAGUUUCCUGUGUUGGAAAUUUUGGAGUUAAUUUUAAUUUUGGCUAUUGUUUGGAAAAGAUGGGCUGUCCGUGUAGAUACGAAGUAUAGUUUUUCCAUAAAACAGAUGUUUAUUUUGUAUUAAAAAUACCACUGUACUUGUUUUACACCAUUUGUAUACAUGUGGUGAUAUUACUGCUAAACUGUAAAAUUCAGGAAUUAAAAUGUGACCCUAUAAUUCCAUGAUUGAGGCUUCUGUUUGUUUUAUUGUAAAAUAAGUGAAUAAGUGAACUAUUUUUGAGAUAUGUCCAGUUUACAUUGUCUUUUAAAGGCUGAUAAAAUCCAUAAAGAUAUGUUAUAAGCCACUAGGUCAGAAAGUCUUAAAUGCAAGACUCAACCAUUCUUUAAAUAUCACUUACAAGAGGUAAACCUUGAGCAAACCUAACAGCAUAAAGCCAUUCUCACCUCUAAACAAAGGUGCACAUACAUCAUGCAUUCAUCUUGUAUCACAAGUGAACUGGGAUUCUUUCAGCCAAUAUCAGUAAGUUACUGUAUGAGUAGGCAUUCUUUCAAACAAGUUUUAUGAAGCCUCUACCAUCUUAGUGCUUAGAAUCUAAGCAGCCCUGAUCUAUAAACUGUUCUGUUAACUCUUUUGUUAUGUUAACUAAAGUACUGUACCAUAUAAAGACUUCCUUUAAUUUUCCUUUCUGAGGAACUUCAAACUUUUAAGACAUUAUUAUGGGAAGUGUUUCUUACAAUGGAAAUAUGAAUGUUUUCUUAAAGUCCAAGGGCAACAGUUGUGUAAUGCAUAUGCUCACCCACAUGAUGAAAGGAUCCUUGGAAGGCACAACUAGGAAGAUUCCACAGUAGCUGCUGUCCUGAAUGACGACCCUCAUGCAGGCUGGGGUGCUUACAGCAUUAUCUCCACUCAGCUAGUUCAAGUCAGAGCACACAUUUGUAUGCCUUAGGUCCUAAAAAUAUCUGUAAACAUGUACCUAAUAAAAAACUAUUUUU
rnacentral:lncRNA from 1 species